rnacentral:rRNA from 1 species
CGAGUGGCGGACGGGUGAGUAAUGUCUGGGAAACUGCCUGAUGGAGGGGGAUAACUACUGGAAACGGUAGCUAAUACCGCAUAACGUCGCAAGACCAAAGAGGGGGACCUUCGGGCCUCUUGCCAUCGGAUGUGCCCAGAUGGGAUUAGCUAGUAGGUGGGGUAAAGGCUCACCUAGGCGACGAUCCCUAGCUGGUCCGAGAGGAUGACCAGCCACACUGGAACUGAGACACGGUCCAGACUCCUACGGGAGGCAGCAUG